AUGCCGAGCCCGAAAACGCCGGCAUGGAGCACAGGGAAGGGAUUAUUUACCGCACAAAUGCGAGAUAAAAGGGAGAGGAGAGGUGUGGACGGCGCGGGAGCCGCGCGGCCAAGAUGGAGUCCAGCAGUUAAGAAGAACCCAGCACUCCUGUCUCUGGAUAAUAUCUUUCACUGGAUUAGAUGAAAUAAAAAUGGAACCCCUGCUAUUUCAAGAGCAGUCUAGGAGGACAACACCCAGCCAGGCCCUGACCAUGAGGUUAUCAAAAAGUGAGAGGAGAUGGAAUUCACUGCUAGAAAAUGAACAAGGAGUUACAAACUUGAGUUUCCAUGGGACCAGCCACAGGUUUUGCUCUUCUCCCCAUCCCAUGUCCAUGCUGGACCUCUCAGAGAGAAGGAGCAGCAGUGAUGCCAGAAACAUCUAUGGGACAAAUCUGGAGAACUGGCACCUGCUUUCCCAGGACUGGCCUGCAGCUGCUUCCCUGCAAGUGGGAAUUAUGUCGCUGGGGAAUGAAUGGUUGGACUCAGUGAUGUUAAUUAAAGGUUUCUUAACAAUUCUAUGUCUCUUACAUGGAUCUGUGUAUGGAAAUGUGCAAAAUCCUCAGUGUGAGAGUCAUUGUGGCUGGGGAGCUUCAGCCAGAGAGGAACUGGGACAGGGUGAGGGAUCCCUUCAGGGCUGUGGCUUCUCCUGCCCUCACAGCUCACACACAGUCCCCAGGCUGGUGAAACUCCUCUCCCCAUCCCUUCACCACUUCCAACAACCUAGAGCACAAUUUCUGCCUCUCCUUUCACCAUUUGCACAAUACUUUGGUUAAUUCUGGCUUUGUUCACUCAAAAAAAAAAAAAAAAGUGAUUGACUAAAAAAAAAGUGAUAGACUAAAAUCUUUGUUUUUCUAAUGAAUAAUACCAGGAGGAUUUCUGGGGCACAGGACUCCAGAAUGACAUUUCCAAAUCUUUCCAGCAACUCCAUGGCAUUAAGGUAAUUAAUUGUGAAACUACACUCUGCAACAGCAAUUGAAAAUAGCAUUGAGAAGACACUCAUAAAGCAGAGAAGAGCCUGGAAUCUGCCUGCUUGUUCUUUCUCCAGAGCUUCUGUGCACAGUAACAGCCAUCAGGCUCUAUAAAUGCUGCUUGUUUUUCCCUGAGACAGCUGCCUUGCCUGCAAUGGAGGAAGCUCCACAAAGGGAGCAGCUAUUCAGUGUUCCCUUCAUUCAUCAGUGCCUUAUCUGUCAUUCCAGCCCUGCUCUAGAACCACAAACUCCCUCCCAGGCCUUUUCCCAUUCCCCUCACUGCUGCAGGGAAUCAGUCAGGGCUCCUUAAAACCUGGAUGUCAGCUUGAAUUCCUCUGGAUCCAAGUAUUUCCCGCGGCUGGAAUCCCCUUUUUCUUUCCUAGAAGUGUUUCUUUUUUUCCCAGUUAGAUACGAAAAACCCCUGUGGAGAGAACUUUUUCUUCUGGCCAUCCCUCACACAGCCCUGCUUAUUUAUCCACUGUGCUGCCUGAGGACUUUGCUUCCAUCAAAGAAAAGCAAAUUCAUUAAUUCCUUUCCUCCAGGAAUGUCAGCAUGUUCGUAGAAUCAGAGUCACAGAAUGCCUCAAGUUGGAAAGAACUCAUAAGGAUCAUCCAAGUCCAAUUUCUUCUGUCCCCUACAUUCAUCCUGCUUAGGUGAUCCCCCUUCCCAGCUUUUUGCAUCUUCUUCCUCCCUUUCUGCUUUUUCCAUCUAAACUUUCCUUCCACUUCCACUCCCCAAAUAAACCCAGGUUCUUGUCCCCUAAGAGAGGCUGAUUCAUGGUCUGACGUCAGCAGCUGCUCUCCUGGCCAGAGCCAGCUGGAAUUGACACAUUCCAGCUGCUGCCAGCAGCAGUGUCCCUUGUCCCCUGAGCCACCCCAGCUGCAGGGGCUGGUGGCAGGGAGGGAACGUGCCCAGCUGUGCCUCCAGAGGUGGAAA